rnacentral:pre_miRNA from 1 species
AAUUACAGAUUGCCACGUUUAAGGGGCAAUGUUGUACGUUGUAUGUAUCAUUGAAACCAUAAGCGUAUAGCUUUUCCCCUUUGAUGUUGCAAGGUUUCAGC